GAAGACAUUGUUCAAGUCUCAAGAGCUAUGGGACUUGGUGGAGAACGGGUAUGAAGAACCGAAUCUAGCACCUGUCGAACCUGACCAGCGAUUGAGAGAAAAUCGCAGGAAUGAUGCAAAGGCCUUACUGCUCAUCCAAUCAGCAUUGGAGGAUGAAAUAUUUCCUCGAAUUUCAGUAGCUUCUACCUCCAAAUAGGCAUGGGAGAUUUUGAAGCAAGAAUAUUUGGGUGACAAGAAGGUAAUUACUGUAAAAUUACAAACUCUUCGUCGUGAUUUUGAG
rnacentral:misc_RNA from 1 species